rnacentral:RNase_P_RNA from 1 species
AAAGUAGGUCGGAUAGUCGCGGGAACAUAUGUUCUCGAGGAAAGUCCGAGCUCCACAGGGCAGGGUGCUGGGUAACGCCCAGUGAGGGUGACCUCAAGGAAAGUGCCACAGAAACAUACCGCAACCCCGAGAUCGGAAGCCGGCUGUCAGAAACCGGAUUCAGGCAGCAAUUCCCGUUCGCUGACUUCCGGCUUCCGCUCUCCGGGUUGUAAGGGUGAAAAGGUGCGGUAAGAGCGCACCAGCGGUCAGGUGACUGGCCGGCUAGGUAAACCCCACCCGGAGCAAGACCAAAUAGGGGAGAGAUGACGUUGCUCGCCGAUUUCCCGGGUUAGGUCGCUUGAGGAAACAGGCAACUGUUUCCCCAGAUAGAUGACUAUCGCCCCGCAAGGGGAACAGAACUCGGCUUACAGACCUGCUUUGUAU